rnacentral:rRNA from 1 species
ACGUUCGGAUUGAAGGCUGAAAUUCGCCUUCAUGAAGCCGGAAUUGCUAGUAAUGGCAGGUCAGCAUACUGCCGUGAAUACGUUCCCGGGCCUUGUACACACCGCCCGUCACACCAUGAGAGUUGGGAAUACCCGAAGCCUGUGAGCCAACUGUAAAGAGGCAGCAGUCGAAGGUAGAAUCAAUGAUUGGGGUGAAGUCGUAACAAGGUAUC